UACGUAGGGCGCAAGCGUUGUCCGGAAUUAUUGGGCGUAAAGAGCUCGUAGGCGGCUUGUCACGUCGGGUGUGAAAGCCCGGGGCUUAACCCCGGGUCUGCAUUCGAUACGGGCUAGCUAGAGUGUGGUAGGGGAGAUCGGAAUUCCUGGUGUAGCGGUGAAAUGCGCAGAUAUCAGGAGGAACACCGGUGGCGAAGGCGGUUCUCUGGACCGAUACUGACGCUGAGGCGCGAAAGCGUGGGGAGCAAACAGG
rnacentral:rRNA from 1 species